rnacentral:rRNA from 1 species
AUGAGUGUCUUGAGCUGGAACUGCCGGGGGCUUGGGAACCCCGAGGCAGUUCGGGAGCUUCAUAGCAUUGUGAAGCAAGAAGGACCCACUCUACUCUUUGUAAUGGAAACAAAAAUCAGAGCGAAACGAGUAGAGGAUUUGAAGCACACUCUAGGUUUUGGAGGAUGCUUUGCUGUGGACAGUGCUGGCCUUAGUGGCGGUAUUGGUCUAUUCUGGUCUCGGGAUGUUAUUGUGGAGUUGAAAAACUUCAGUCAAAAACACAUUGAUGUUGUUGUUCAAAACAACAAUCAAAACAACUCGGUAUGGCGUUUCACAGGGUUUUACGGAGCACCGCGAGCGGAAGAUCGACAUCACAGUUGGCGGUUUUUGCGCACUCUUCAUCAGUUACCACAUUCGUCUUGGAUGUGUGUUGGUGAUUUUAACGAGACCCUGUUUGCAUGUGAGCACUUUAGUAGAACUGCUCGGUCUGAGAGUCAUAUGCGAGCAUUCAGGGAAGUCGUUGAUGAUAUUUCCUUCCAGGACUUGGGCUGGUUCGGCACAACAUACACAUGGGAUAUAUAA